AUUGAACGCUGGCGGUAUGCUUAACACAUGCAAGUCGAACGGUAACAGGCCUUCGGGCGCUGACGAGUGGCGGACGGUGAGUAACGCGUAGGAAUCUGCCUCAUAGUGGGGGACAACGUGGGGAAACUCACGCUAAUACCGCAUACGCCCUACGGGGGAAAGCGGGGGAUCUUCGGACCUCGCGCUAUGAGAUGAGCCUGCGUUAGAUUAGCUAGUUGGUAGGGUAAAGGCCUACCAAGGCGACGAUCUAUAGCUGGUCUGAGAGGACGAUCAGCCACACUGGGACUGAGACACGGCCCAGACUCCUACGGGAGGCAGCAGUGGGGAAUAUUGGACAAUGGGCGCAAGCCUGAUCCAGCAAUACCGCGUGUGUGAAGAAGGCCUUAGGUUGUAAAGCACUUUCAAUUGGGAGGAAAACCUGCCGGUCAAUACCCGGUAGCUUGACAUUACCUUUAGAAGAAGCACCGGCUAACUCCGUGCCAGCAGCCGCGGUAAU
rnacentral:rRNA from 1 species